CCCAAAGAGGCACGGAUUUGUAAAGCUAAUGAUUCUGUCCAAGGUGUUUGCAUACUUCAGACACCUUGCAUCCGGGUUGUUGCUCCUUAAAUAGUUUCCCAAGGGGCAGCUGAAGAGUAGAAUCUGUUGUUUCAUGUAGAGGGACCUCAGUAUUUCAGUUAUCGUUGCUUGGUUUCAAACUUGCUUGGUUUUAUGUCUAGUGGCUCUUUGAGUUACUACUUUAGUGAUCUGCCUCUUGCCACAGAGAUAAUAAUCCUGUGGAUCCAGCCUAACAUUUCUGUAUUUCCACUGCAAGGAUCUCCCAGUGUUCUGAUCGGACAUUCCAUCAUUAAGAUACCACAUAAUUUUCUUGAUACUUGGAGCUUUUUAAAAUAAGUUUUAAAUUGUUGAUACACAACAAUAAAAUGUUCUUUCUCCCAGGAGUGUCAUGUAACAACUUAAACUUCUCACGUGAAAACAGAAAAUGGCUUCGAGAGGAACAACAGAGACCAGUAAGCUAAAACAAAACUUGGAAGAGCAGUUGGAUAGAUUAAUGCAGCAGCUUCAAGAUCUGGAGGAAUGCAGAGAGGAGCUAGAUGCAGAUGAGUAUGAAGAGACCAAAAAAGAAACUCUAGAACAGCUGAGUGAGAUCAAUGACUCCCUGAAGAAGAUUAUGUCUGGAGAUAUGACUUUGGUGGAUGAGCUCAGCGGGAUGCAACUGGCAAUACAAGCAGCCAUCAGCCAAGCAUUUAAAACUCCAGAAGUAAUUAGAAUGUUUGCAAAGAAACAACCAAGGCAAUUGAGGACAAGGCUGGCAGAGAUGGACCGAGACUUAAUGGUGGGAAAGUUGGGACGAGAACUAUACACACAGCAGAAAGUGGAAAUCCUGACUGCCCUCAGAAAGCUUGGAGAGAAGCUCACUCCAGAUGAUGAGAUGUUCUUGUCAGCAAAUGCUGGUACGGCCCUGAGUCAGUUUGAGAGAGUCUCCACUGACCUUGGAUCAGGAGACAAAGUCUUUGCUCUAGCAAGUUUUGAAGUAGAAAAGGCAAAACAAUGAAGAGGCAUGUUUCUGAACUGAUGUGUAAAAUGUGAUAACUGCCAUCAUGGUAAGUCUGUUGUUGAAAAGAAAACGAUGGUGAUGCUACUGGAAAAAUCAGAAGAAUUUCCUAGGAAAAAAGUGAUCUUGUUUCCAUCUUGUUAGUGCUUUGAAUUAUAAAAAUUAAGAAAUACAUCUACUGAAAAGACAAUACUGAAUUAUUUUAGAACUAGUAAUGGUUUAUACACCAGCUUUUAAACCCAGAUGUUGGGAUUCAGUUCCAGUUUAUGGUGGCAUGACUGGCAACAGUGGAGUUGGACCUGCGUUUAUCAGCAGUGAAGGUGACCCACUGUUCUGAGGAGUCCUGUGUUUAAUGAAGUAGAACAUCUGUGUUUUACCUAUCAUGUAGGUAUUUUAGGCUUUUAUGGCUAGACUUGAGCUUCAGUGAGAACUGCCAUUAAAUUGAGUGAGUGGAGUGGAAAGAGUCUUAAAUUUAGACAGCCUAUUGCAAUGUUAAUCUCAGUGUUGCACAGCAGUCACUUAGAGACUAAGUGGGUAGAAUAGACUAUAAACAGAAAAUUAACAUGAUCAGUCAUAAUUUAGAUUGCACUUACAGGGCAUAAAUUCCCUAUAAAUAAGGAAGUUUGUCUAAUUGUAAACCAGGACUGGAGCAGAGUAAACCAGAAAAUGUAUUUUUUAGACUGUAUUUGGCUUUAACAGGUAUCCUUUUGAAACCUAGUAUUUUAGAAAUGAAAGGAUAUACAGUAUAGACAGCGUAAUUUAUGGCUUUCACUGAUGGAACAUUUCCCCCCCUCUCUCUCUCUCUCUCUCUCUCUCUCUCUCUGAAGCUUUUAUUUAGAUGGGGUCUUUUGUCCAUUAAAUCAGAACUAUUUUCCUGUCUGGGGCAGUAUUACGUUCUCUGACAAAGGCUGAUUGCAGCUUUGUAGCUGAGAGCAGCUUAUUAAAAGGUGUUAUUAGACAGUCUAAAAUUAUUGAAAACAAAACAGUCCAUGGGGACUGUAGCUGCCGCCUUUGCCUUUCUGCUCAUUACUGGUGCUAAGUAACUCUUCUUCCCCCACACCUCCCAACCUGCUUGCAGUAUUGGUAUGUAAAUUAAACCUCUUAGCACUCCCACAGAUCUCAGUAAGUUUACAGUACAAUGAUAUGGAAAUCUUUUUCCUUCUAGUUUUAGAGAGGUGUAUGUUUCCAGGAGAAACUCUUUUUGUUACUGAUUUGCAAAUAUUACAGGAUUUUUUUCAAACUUUCUGUACUGCAGGCAGUUGUUAAAUUCCUAUUAAAUUUUUUCUUGACUGAAUAUCUUUUUAAUGUUGUACUCUUCCUGCUCUUGAAAAGAUUUCUCGUGAUUUAGAUGGACAAAGAUGAGAUUGAGAUCAAUGACCAAUAUUAUUGCAAGAGUCAGUAUGCCAGGCCAGACUUCCCUUCUCAAAAGUUGUGAAGGGUCAGAAAGCACAGCUCUGGGCUGGAUAUGGCCUGCAGAAUGCCCUGACUAUAAAUGUAAUUGAACAGGAAAGGUGUUGCUGGUAUGAAGCUACUCACAUGUUGACCCUAGCAAAUAGUUAUUUAAGUAACCUACUUGAAGUAGUUAGGUUAAUUUCAGAGGCAUAGUAAGUUAACUGGUGUGCUGUGCUAAAUACUUCGCCAAGUAGUCCUGGGAUGUAACUCCACUAGUAUUUCAAGUGUUUCUGUAAGGGCUGGGAAAAAGUCCAUAAUCUAUUUAUUAUAAUAAUCAUUUGCUCAAAUAAAAACUGGUAACAAAAGAACAACUCCUAAAUGAAAGCAUGGUUUUGUGGUUUAACAUACAAGCUUGUGAUGUUUGAGUUCUGUCCCUGGUUCAGCAUUAGACCCAGGCAGAUGACUUAUUCUCUACACAUCUUUCCUGGAGUAAAAUAGAGAUUAUGAUACUUGAAUAUGGAGUGCUGUGAAGUUGUUAUUGAUCAUGCAUUGCUUUGAAGAUUAAAAGUGCUUUGUUUUUUGUUUAUCAUUUUACUUCUGAAAUAAGAAUUGUAAUGUACAAUAGCUUUAAACACAUCAGCAAAGUUGCCCAGAGUUCUUUCUGGCCAUAUAUAAGCUCCCUUUUUUAAUCUUCUUUUUCUAUAGGGUGAAUCUAGUGAUUGUACUGAUCUAAAAGUGUUAGAGAGAAAAUUGAAGCUUCAAAUGCUCUGUCUCUCUUUCUUCUGUCUUUGUCUCCUUGUAUUAUUUCCCUUCUUUGAUCUUGAAUGGAAAAGUAGCAAAAUAUCUUUGUCUUAAAGGAAAAAUACAAGAUUUCUUAAGAGAUCCCUUAGUUCAUCAUGUUAACUUGCCUGUUAAAAUCAAAUUAAAUAUGGCAGAGAAUUCUGUAUUACUGAUACCCUACUGACCAAGCAUUUAAAGCUGUAUCAUUAGUGGCUGAAAUGGCAGGCAAAUUAAAAUAUAACCAUUUGGUUUUGCUUCCAGUACGACCAUUCCUUUCCUAUAUAAGGACAAAUAUAAUUUUUACAUUGUAAAGAAAUAAGAGUCAGCUUGCAGGCAUCUUUUAGUUUCCCCGCUUCCACCAUUUAUAAAUUAUCCUCACUGAGUUCUGAAGAAGUCUUUCCUAUUAGGGAAGUAAACUCUCAUUCCAAUUCUGUCUGCUUAGCUACCCACAAGAGAGGAAGAGGAGUGCUCAUAUUGGAGUUUUUCUUUAGAAGUCAUGGAAAAUGUGACACCUUGCCUCACUAUGAGGUAGGUUGUAGGGUUUUUUAACUUUACCUUAAUAGUGGGUUUACAUCAGUAAGGGAGAGGGGAGAAUUACUGAGUUCAUGGUGCUGAGAUUUCUCUCCCAGGCUUUCCACCUCAGUUGAACAGGACCUGCUGAUGUUCAGAGCAUCUGAAAAGGUGGCCUAAAGUAUCUGACAGGAUAAAUAAAAAUAUUUCACGAUAAGUAGCCUCUAAAAUAAGGUCUUAAAAGAGAAAAUACAAAGAUAAGGUUAGUGGAUAUAACUAUAGGUAAGGCAUUGCUGUAUCACGCACUGAAACAUCUACUGUAAUUUAAUAUGCUAUUCUGUUAGUUAUAUAUUUAAUACCAGGUUUCUUUUUAAAACAAAUUCUAAUCAUGGACAUCUCUUUUUAUCUUGCUAUUGUAAUAGUUUGCUGCUUGAUAAUGUUUAGGAUCAUGUUUUCAACAUGCCUCCAAAAAUGGGUCGGUAAUAAUCGCAGAUGUACUGAAAGCCAUCAGGCAGAACCACCUGCAAAUCCUGUGGACAGAGUGUUAAUGUCUGGAGCUAGAAGUUAAGAGGUCUCUUGAGCAUCCAUCAUGUUUUAUGAUGAUAGAAGUAACUACUAUAAUGGCAAGAUGUCACCUUGCUUGAUAGCUAAACAUCUCGAGAAGUCGUGCUCCUCGGCCGUGCCCCGCCGCACAGGACAGCUAGAG